AUGGAACGGGGGGAGGGGAGGAGGGAAAGGAGGGGCCAGGGGGCGGGGCCUGAGUGGUCGGGAGGCGGGGCCUCGGGGUGGCGAGGGGGACCGGGCAGGGGGCGGGGCCUCGGGGUGGCGAGGGGGACCGGGCAGGGGGCGGGGCCUCGGGGUGGCGAGGGGGACCCGGGCAGGGGGCGGGGCCUCGGGGUGGCGAGGGGGUCCGGGACCGGGACCGGGGCCGGGGCCGGGACCGGGACCGGGGCCGGGAGGAGGGGCGGGCUGCGGCGGGAGGAGGACCGGGUCCUGGAAGCCGGAAGCCGCCAGCCGCCCCGCCUCGCGCCGGAAGUCCCGCUGGCGGCAAAGUUAACGGCAGUGGUUGGCGCGUCCGCGUCGGAGUCGCUGGUUCUCGAGGCUGCCGGCUGCGCGCCCCCUGCCCCCACCGAAGCUGACGUGCCCGAGCGGACCCGGGGAGCGUCCGCCGUCCCGGGGCGCUGUGGACGUGACUUCGGGGAGCUGGCUGUCCUGGUCCCAGCCUGCUCCGCCUCCCCGGUGACUGCGUCGGGGUGUGCAGAAUCAGCGGUGGGCCCGCUGGGAGAUGCGACGCCGGGAAGGAAGGCUCUGGGUGGCAGGCCAAACCCCGUGCCUCUGAAGUCGGAGUUUGCUUCCCAUCCAGUGGAAGGCGAGGGCCCUCCGGACAAAAUUCUGAAGAUGAAUUUCCACUACAUUGAAAUGGCAGCUAUCAAAACUCAGCUCUGCACGUGGUUGUCUGAAGAAGGAGAAAUCAGGGUAAGUCUAACUAAAAACAGAUAUUAAGAGAUAGCAAGAGCUGGAUAAAAAGCACCAGAUUAGAUUGAUUCAGAUGGUAAAAUGGGCAAAUGACCUAGCCAAGGGCAGCCCCCGUGGCCCAGUGGUUUAGCGUCCCCUUCAGCCCAGGGUGUGAUCCUGGGGACCCAGGAUCAAGUCCCAUGUCAGGAUCACUGCAUGGAGCCUGUUUCUCCCUCUGCCUGUGUCUCUGCCUCUCUCUCUGUGUCUCAUGAAUAAAUAAAAAUCUUAAAAAAACAAAAAACCUUUAAGAAGAUAUGACAUUAUGGGGAAUGUGUUAAGUAGCUUCCAAAACAGUUGAAUGCUCACCUCAGGCUUCUAAAUACCUGUUUGCUUGCUUUUGUUUGACUUAUCUAGUUCAGUGCCAUGUGUUAGGAAUGUUUGAUAACUGUUCCCUAGUAAGAUGAGAACUAAGAUGCUGUUGUUAAAUGAGUCGUAUGAAAAAAUGCCCUUGAAAUGAAGGAUUUAGCCAGUGUGUCUCUGUAAAACAUGACAGGAAUGAUAUCAAUAUUGUCUAUGUAUUAAAUGCCUCAUUUUUUUUUAAUUUUUAUUUAUUUAUGAUAGUCACACAGAGAGAGAGAGAGAGGCAGAGACACAGGCAGAGGGAGAAGCAGGCUCCAUGCACCGGGACCCGACGUGGGAUUCGAUCCCGGGUCUCCAGGAUCACGCCCCGGGCCAAAUGCAGGCGCCAAACCGCUGCGCCACCCAGGGAUCCCUAAAUGCCUCAUUUUUAAGGAUGCUUCAUCAAUAACAAAUACUCCAACUAGAAUUUACCAAAUUCUUAGUCUUCAUAAAUUGAAAACCACUUAUUUUGUAGGUUAUAGUGCCAUCAUGUGGAUGUCUUUUCGUAAAAUGAAAUGUAGCAUUUUAGUAAUAGAGACUAUUUUUAUGAUUGGGAAACCCAGUCACCCACACACAGGCAUGACAACUUAUAAUUUAGUGCUGAUUUCUAAGACUGGCUGUAUAUAGAUUCACUUGGGAUUUCUGAAUCUAUGUUGUUAGCAUGUAGAAUUUGGAAACAUUUUUUAGAUGAUAAAAAGACUUUCUGAAUAUAAUAGCUUGAAUAUUCAUGCUGUCUCUACAGAUGGUCAGAGUUUUCUUUUUAACAUGUCUAUUAUAAAGGAUACAGAUGAACAGCCAGAUGAAAAGAUACUAGGUCUAGAAGAAUCCCAAGCACAGGAGCUUCUGUCCUUUGGAGUUGGGGUGUGCCACCAUCCUGGCACAUGGAUGUGUUCCCAACCUGGAAGCUCUCAGAAUCCCAUAGUUUAUAGAGAUUUUAUAGAGGCUGCAUCAUGUAGGCAAUCUCCAGCCUCCAGAGGAUUGGGGGGGGGGGGGGUUAAAGUUCCAAGCUUCUUUUUUUAAAAAAAUUUUAAAAUGUGUUUAUUUGAAAGAAAGAGAGCACAAGCUGGGGACCCACAGAAAUAUAGAGUUGGAAGGAACCUUAGAAUUCUUCUGCAUUUAAGUUUUAUUUAGCAGUUUAACUCCUUUUUAAGAUAAAAACUGAACUAACAGUGGUGCCUGGGUGGCUCAGUCAUUUGGGCAUCUGCCUUUGGCUCAGGUCAUGAUCUCGGGGUCCUGAGAUUGAGCCCCACAUCAGGCUCCCUGCUCAGCACAGAGUCUGCUUCUCCCUCUUCCUCUCCUCCCUGCUCAUGUGUGCUCCCCUCUUUCAACUCACCCUGUCUCUCAAAUAAAAUCUUAAAAAAAAAAAAAAAAAACUAAUAAAAACAAGUACUCUGAAGCUGAGACUGAACCCUAAAGUCCUCCAAGAAGAAGGAUGUGGUUGGGAAUGCCCUUUGGAUUUCUCAGUUAGAAUAUUGUUUAACAAACAUUGGAUGUUACUUUGUGUAGGCACUGUAUAUAGGCAAUAAAAAUGUGAGGGAGAGUCUGUCCAGUGUUACAGAAAACAAGAAUGUACAGGAACUUUAGAAAAUAGCAACUUUUAAGAGGUGAACAGAAAGGAAAAGAACCAGCAAAGACAUUUGGAAGUGUGUCCUGUGAGACAGGAGCAGACCACAAUGAGUAUAGUAUGGAUUGGCUGACCUGCACCUGAGCUCCUUUUCUCCUCUACUCUCCCACCAGUAACAGUGAUUGAAGAAGAAGGGCUUUCAGGUACCCUGAAGGUAGAUGAUGUCUGAAGUGGAGAAAAUGGUGAAUGCUUGAGGCUUGAGUCAGAUUACUACCCUAGAAGCACCAUAUCCCUCGUCCUAACCUCAUCUGGAGGAGCACAAACCAGUAUCUAGGUUUAUCUUCCUUUCCCUUUCUAGCCAAGUAAACACUUGGUAAACACUUAGUAAACACUUGGAAGUCUGACAAAUCUGGAAUCAGAUCCUGAUGAUCCCAAGGAGUAAAUAUGAGCACAGGGGGAAGCUUCUGAAACAUCUGAGGAGCAAUAUAACUACUAAAGAAAAACAAUCAUAGAAACUGCUUGUAACAGAGAAAAUCAAACUAAUGGAUCCAGAGGAAAAGAAUUUAAAAUAAGUUUCAGGGCAGCCCCGGUGGCCCAGCAGUUUAGCGCCACCUUCAGCCUGGGGUGUGAUCCUGGGGGCCUGGGAUGGAGUCCCAUGUCGGGCUCCCUGCAUGGAGCCUGCUUCUCCCUCUGCCUGUGUCUCUGCCCCCCUCCCCCCGUGUGUGUGUGUGAGUGUGUGUGUGUCUCAUGAAUAUAUAAAUAAAAUCUUUAAGAAAAAGAAACAUAUGAGACUUUGUACUGUUUUGCUUUAACAGUUAUCCUUUAGAGAAAUUAAAAUAAAAUAAAUUUUAUCUGCAUUUAUCCAACAUUCUUCAUUUCUUUGUGUAAAUCCAAGUUUCAAUCCAAUAUUAUUUAUCCUCUUGAAGAACUUCCUUUAACAUUUCUUGUGGAAUAGGUCUGAUGGCAAUGAGUUCUCUGUUUUUGUUUGUCUAAAGAAGACUUUAUUUCUCCUUCACUUUUGAAAGAUAUUGUUGCUGGGUAUAGAUUUCUAGGUUGACUGAUUUUUCCUCAGCAUUUAAGGUAUUACACCAUUGUCUUCUGGCUUGCCUGGUUUCUAACAAGAGGUCCUCUGUAAUCCAUACCUUUUGUCUUCGUGUCAUUCCCUCCUCUCUCCUGUGGUUGCCUUCAGGAUGCUAUGUUUGUCUUUUGUUUUCAUCAUUUUGAAUAGGAUAUGUCUGUGUGUGUUUACCUUGAUUAGUGUUCUCUCGGUUUCAUGGAUCUUUAGUUUGGUGUCUACCAUUGAAUUUGGAAAAUUCUUAAGUAUCCUUUGCUUGAAUAUUUCUUCUGCUGUCAUACUCUCUUCUCUUUCAGGUGUUCCAAUUAUGCAGAUGUUUGAUAUCACACAGCUCUUUCAUUUUCUGUUCUAUUUCACUUUUAUUUCUCUUAGUGUUUCACUUUGGGUAAGCUCUAUUGAUUAUCUUCAGGGUCACUAAUUCUUUCUUCAGCUAUGUCAAGUCUACUUAUGAGCAUAUUGAAGCAUUCUUCAUGUCUGUUACUAUGUUCUUUUUGGUACCAUUUUCCUAUUUAUUCUUUUUUGCUAAAAUUACAUAUUUUCCACCUUUUCUAACAGAAACUUUAUUUUUCUUUUCUUUUAUUUUCUUUUUAAAUAGGGUUCACACUUAGCAUGGAGCCCAACACAGGGCUUGAACUCAUGACCCUGAGACCAAGACCUGAGCUGAAAUCAAGUGUCAGAUGCUUAACCAACUGAGCUACCCAGACAUCCUUCCAUCAGAAACUUUAUUUAUCAUAGUUAUUUAAAUUCACUGUCAGGUAGCUCCAACAUCUGUGUCAUACUUAAAUCUACCUCUGAUGAUUGCUUUGUCUCUUGGGAGUAUGUUUUUUGUUGUUGUUGUUUUUCAGUUUUACUACAUUUUUAUAGUAGGUACUUUAAGGGAUUAUUUUUUAGGUCUCAUCAGCAACAUCAAAGUACUGAGUACUCAACAGGAUACAGAGCACUGCCAAGUACCUUAGAACAUUUACAGGACUUGGAGAGAAUGUGGUUCUUGCUGACAAGAAGCUGACAUUCGGGGGCUGACAACUCAGACUAAGGGUUGAGAGAACAACAAGGAAAUUUAUUAAGGCAAAUUCUUCACCCCUUUAGCUAUUGCGGACUGAAUUAAUUUUUGAAAUUCUCUAAUUAAGACACAAAUCUAAAUUUGGUUGAGAAUUCUUUCAGGCUCCAAGUUUUUAACAUCCACUUUAACAGAACAGACAGACAACCAGAAGUAAAGACCAGGUUUCUUGAAGUGCAAGGGCCAGAACAUCUCAUUGUGGCUACUUAUUUUAAAAAUCACACAUUGCACGGUAGGACUAGGGUUAUUACACUAGUUUAAAAACAGGCCAAGUGCUGGUGCCGCUUUGCCCUCCUACUAGCAUUGGUCAUUUAACACAGUGAAUGUUGAACAUUUGGGUCUACAUGUAACCCACAGAGAGCCCACCCUGAUCCUAAUGUGUGUAUCAAAUAUCCAUCAACCUCAUGUGUCCUCUGAAAGUUUUAUUUAUGCCCUAUUAUGUCAAAAGUAAUGUAAAUAGGCAAAUUAUAAUAAGCUAAUGACCUGCAUAUUUCCAUAUGGGUGAAAGUCAGUAUAUCUUUAUAGUAAAUAAAUGGCAGUCAUACCUACCUAUAUAGAAACAACUCGAGGAGCUCCAGAUUUUGUAUACUCCCCACCAUAAGAGGUAUGCAGUCUUUAAGGUUUUCCAACGGUUGUCAGAAAAACAGCAGUUACUCCUGCAGUAUCUCAUUAGCAUCUGAUUCAGGUUAUGUAAUUUAGAAGAUAUUACAAAGCCAAUCUAGAAGUCUGUAAUUAUUCCAACAU
rnacentral:lncRNA from 1 species